UACGUAGGGGGCAAGCGUUGUCCGGAAUUAUUGGGCGUAAAGCGCGUGUAGGCGGUCCGGUAAGUCGGUUGUGAAAGUCCAGGGCUCAACCCUGGGAUGCCGACCGAUACUGUCGGACUAGAGUUCGGAAGAGGCGAGUGGAAUUCCCGGUGUAGCGGUGAAAUGCGCAGAUAUCGGGAGGAACACCAAUGGCGAAGGCAGCUCGCUGGGACGUUACUGACGCUGAGACGCGAAAGCGUGGGUAGCAAACAGG
rnacentral:rRNA from 1 species